UACGUAGGGGGCAAGCGUUAUCCGGAUUUACUGGGUGUAAAGGGAGUGUAGGUGGUUCGAUAAGUCAGAUGUGAAAGCCCGGGGCUCAACCCCGGGACUGCAUUUGAAACUAUCGGACUAGAGUGCAGGAGAGGUAAGUGGAAUUCCUAGUGUAGCGGUGAAAUGCGUAGAUAUUAGGAGGAACACCAGUGGCGAAGGCGACUUACUGGACUGUAACUGACACUGAGGCUCGAAAGCGUGGGGAGCAAACAGG
rnacentral:rRNA from 1 species